CCUACGGGAGGCUGCAGUCGAGGAUCUUCGGCAAUGGGCGCAAGCCUGACCGAGCGACGCCGCGUGCGCGACGAAGGCCUUCGGGUUGUAAAGCGCUGUCGGGGGGGAGGAAAGCCCCACAAGGGCCUGACCGACCCCCGGAGGAAGCACGGGCUAAGUUCGUGCCAGCAGCCGCGGUAAGACGAACCGUGCAAACGUUGUUCGGAUUCACUGGGCUUAAAGGGCGCGUAGGCGGGCGUGUCAGUCAGGGGUGAAAGCCCUCGGCCCAACCGAGGAAGGGCCUCUGCGACGGCACGUCUGGAGGGAGGUAGGGGCAGCGGGAACUUCCGGUGGAGCGGUGAAAUGCGUAGAUAUCGGAAGGAACGCCGGUGGCGAAAGCGCGCUGCUGGACCUCAUCUGACGCUGAGGCGCGAAAGCCAGGGGAGCGAACGGGAUUAGAU
rnacentral:rRNA from 1 species